UAUUUUUUAAUUAAAUAUUUUUGGGAUUAUUAAUUAAUAAAAAUAUUUUUUGUUUAAGUAUUUUUUAGAAAAAAAUAUUAAUUUUAUAGAGAAAAGUACUGUAAAGGAAAUGAAUUAAAUAUGUUUUAAGUAAUUUUGUUUUAUUUACCUUUUGUAUCAGGGUUUAUCAAAUUUCUUGAUCUAUUUUCCUUUUCUCGAAAUUUCAAGAGCUAUGUUCUUAUGUUAUUUGAUGUUACACUAUUUUUUAAAAUAGGAAUAUGGGGGAUAUAUUCUAUUCAAUUGAUAAUAUCUAGUUUUUUAAGUCAUGGGUUUAAUCCAUUAACAGAUUUAUUUUUUUAUUUAAUUUUGAUCUGUUUACAUAUAAUAAAGGAUAAGCUUUUUUAUAAUUCUAUAAAUUAAUUUAUAUUAUUUUAUGUAGGGAUAAUAAUCUCCAUCAUUUAUUUUGUAAAAAUUAUUUUUAUUAUGGUUUUUAUUUUUUUGAUUUUAGAUUUUUAUUAAAAUGAGUUAAUUAAUUUUUAAUUUACUGAAAAAAUGAUAAAAUUAGUAUUUUUUAAAAAUAAUUUACAGUAAUUCGGCAAAUAUAAAUUUCACCUGUUUAACAAAAACAUGGUCUUUUGUUUAUAUAUAAGAUCUGGCCUGCCCAAUGUUAUUUGAAUGGCUGCAGUAUUUUGACUGUACAAAGGUAGCAUAAUCAUUUGUCUCUUAAUUGGAGUCUGGAAUGAAUGGUUGGAUGAAAAUUUUUCUUUCUUUAUUUUUAAUAAAAAAAUUAAUUUUUAAAUUAAAAAGUUUAAAUGUUUAUAUAGGACGAGAAGACCCUAUAGAACUUUAUCCUUCUUGAAUAAUUGUUUUUUGGGAAUAAUUUUUUUACUAUUUUAAGGGGGAUUUUGUUGGGGUGACAAAAAAAAUUUUAUAACUUUUUUUAUUUUUAACAUUUAUUUAUGUAUUUUUGAUCCUUUAUUAUGGAAAAUAAGAUUAAGUUACCUUAGGGAUAACAGCGUUAUUAUUUUAGAGAGCUCAUAUUGAUAAAAUAGUUUGCGACCUCGAUGUUGGAUUAAAAUUAGUUUCAGGAGCAGAAGAUUGAUUAACUAGGUCUGUUCGACCUUUAAAUUUUUACAUGAUCUGAGUUCAGACCGGCGUGAGCCAGGUUGGUUUCUAUCCUUAUUUUAUUUUAAAGAUUUAGUACGAGAGGACCAGUUCUUUAGAAAUAAUUUUUUUUGGUUUGAUUGAUUUU
rnacentral:rRNA from 1 species